UACAGAGGUUUCAAGCGUUGGUCGGAUUCAUUGGGCGUAAAGGGUGCGUAGGCGGCGCGGUAAGUCGGGUGUGAAAUCUCGGAGCUUAACUCCGAAACUGCAUUCGAUACUGCCGUGCUUGAGGACUGGAGAGGAGACUGGAAUUUACGGUGUAGCGGUGAAAUGCGUAGAUAUCGUAAGGAAGACCAGUGGCGAAGGCGGGUCUCUGGACAGUUCCUGACGCUGAGGCACGAAGGUCAGGGGAGCAAACGGG
rnacentral:rRNA from 1 species